GUUCCUUCUCCUCUGCGCUUGACUAAUCUUAAACAUCUAAAAACACCCAAAAGGGGCUGGUUUUAAGAUAUUCGGCCUCAAACCAAAUAUUGGCAAUCUGGUACAACUUAUGUUGAGAGGCAAAUGCUGGGAAAGAACCUCAUAUUAGGCCAUGACUGCCUCCUGUAUAUUUCAAGUGAAUUAUUGACUAGUGUCUUCUGUUUUGAUGCUCUGAGCCACUGAAAGCGUCAUUAAAUAAACUGUAAAUAAAUAUGGCACAAAACUGUAAACAAAAAUAAAGUUUGGACCAAUGCACACAUCAAAUACAAAACAGCCUGUUCGACUAUGUAGUGAUGCGUAACCUUGCUCUUGUUGGCAACAUGCAGUUUACUGCAUUAACCAAUGUGUGUCAUAAAGAUAUCUCAGAUGGUAAAUGUCUAAUGAUAUUAACAGGUUGUUAUAAAAAUUAAUUUUUGGUUCUCUGUUUUUUCUUGUGAUUGUAUAAUGAUCUUUGCUUUAAAAUAAAUUUAGCAGAGACUA